GCCGAUCUAAGACCCCCGCACCCCGUUCGCCGCACUAUAAAAAGGUAAUCUUCCCUUCCCUUCUUUUCUUUUUUAUUUCAGUUCGAUGUAGAAUUAUGUAAUUAGUUUAGUUUAAUUUUAAUGUUGUAUGCUAAGUUUCUGGUUUUUGUAGUUCAUGCUUAGUGUAAUUUUUUUCAUUUUUCUUCGUCUCUGAAUAUUUUCGUUGUUUCUAUUUUUAAUUGGGUUAAAGGGAAUUAAUUAGUCCAAUUUCAGUUCUAUU